rnacentral:misc_RNA from 1 species
GUUCAAUGUGCAAAUAACAAACUGAAGUAACCAGUUUUCUCUUUAUUUUUCCUUUUACACAGAGAAGGAGCAAAGCCCCGAUAAGAAAACAUGUCAUGCGCCUAUCAGUUCAGUAGCUUCCUUCAGCCAAGCCUUCUCAGAAUCAUCCAAAUACGGGGCCAGAAUGUCCCUACAUUUUGAAUGAUAGUUGUUCAGCCAAUCAAUCUCAUCGGGGAUUAGCAGGCUCACAUCAAUUAACUUUCUCUGGUAUGGUGCCCAUGUUAUGUGCUCAAAUGAUAA